CGGGCCAAAGGUUUUUUUUUUUUUUUUUUUUUUUUAAUGUGGGGGGAAUAAGUAUUCAAAUGCUGGUUCUACUUGUUCUGGUUAAGACGGAAGCAAUCGCAAGUCAUUUUUUUUUUUUUUUUUGGAGACAGAGUCUCGCUCUCUCACCCAGGCUGGAGUGCAGUGGCAGGAUCUUGGCUCACUGCAAGCUCCGCCUCCCGGGUUCACGCCAUUCUCCUGCCUCAGCCUCCCGAGUACCUGGGACUACAGGUGGCCGCCACUACACCAGGCUAAUUUUUUGUAUUUUUAGUAGAGACAGGGUUUCAUCGUGUUAGCCAGGAUGGUCUCGAUCUCCUGACCUCGUGAUCCGCCUGCCUCCGCCUCCCAAAGUGCUGGGAUUACAGGCAUCAGCCACCGCGCCCCGCCAAGUCAAAAUUUUACUAAGAAAACUGGACCCCAGAAACUCCUUUAAUAUCAGACUUUUUUUUUUUUUUUUGAGACAGAGCCUUGCUCUGUCACCCAGGCUGGAGUGCAGUGGUGGGAUCUCAGCUCACUGCAACCUCCAAGUCCUUGGUUCAAGCAAUUCUCGUGCCUCAGCCUCCUGAGUAGCAGGGAUUAUAGGCACAUGCCACUAUGCCUGGCUAAUUUUUGUAUGUCUAGGAGAGACAGGGUUUCACCAUGUUGGCCAGGCUGGUCUCGAACUCCUGGCCUCAAAUGAUCUGCCCUCCUCGGCCUCCUAAAGUACUGGGGUUAUAGGUGUGAGUCACCAUGCCCAGCCUUAACAUCAGAGAUCUAAUGUGAGGUGAGGGGGACAGUGUAUGGAAUUUUGCAAGUCCAGGAACUUAGGUGUGAAAAUCUUUUAUUUUUAAAAAUUUUGUGUAGAGACAGGGUCUCACUCUGUUGCCUAGGAUGGUCUCAAACUCCUGGCCUUCCGUGAUCUGCCCACCUUGGCCUCCCAAAGUACUUAGGUUACAGGCACGAGCCACUGCACCUGGCCAGAAAAUGAAUCUUUAGUUUCACUAGCCUCUGAACGAAAUCCAGUAUUUCUGCCAAUUUUGGAGGUAGGCACCAAAUCACAGUAGCAUUAGACAACCUGUGCUUUAGUCAACAAAAUAAAUUGGAUAUUUUCGUAUAACAUCAUGGCCAUUGUAGAUUGCUACUUCAAAAUAAAAGUAGUUACUAGAUCUGCUGAUAGAUCUUGUAUUUAGUGUUAAUAAAAACACACUUAACAAUUUAAAAAUAUUUUGAUAACUAUUAUUUUAAUGGCAGUUUCCUUUUGCAAACCUAUGUAUUUUAUUCUUUUAAACAUCACUGAGCAGAUUCACAGAUUUCAUCGAAUUGCCAAAGGGGUCCAUGACUCAGAAUGCACUGUGUCUUAAAGCAGGUCCUCCUAAGCAAGGGGUAUUGAAAGGGGAUCCACCUCAGAGACCUAAGACGCAGGUUCUAAUCCUGACAAGUUGCUUGACCUCAGACAGGCUUCUGUCUCUCAUGCCUUCACUUUUAUCUCUAUUAAAAUAGAAGUGGGCCAGGUGCAGUGGCUCACAGCUGUAAAAAGCACUUAGGGAGGCCAAGUGGGGAGGAUAGCUUGAGGCCAGGAGUUGAGACCAGCCUGGGCAACAAAGCAAGAACCCAUCUCUACAAAAAAAAAAAAAAAGCAGCAUCUGAAGCAGCAUGUGGGGAGCAAACGAGAUGCAAUUGUGAAUGUCUCCUGACAGCAGCUUCUCAAGCUCAGGUGGCCACUUAAACUCACAUAAAUCCAUGUUUGGUUACCAAAGAUAAGCAUUUAAGCAACAUUUAUAAUUUCGUAACCUGCCUAUGUUGGGGGAAUGCAACAUUGGUCAUUCCUGCAAUACUUGCCCUAGCACACACGCAGCCCAGGGACGUUUUUCCAACCUAAUGAUGCUCACAUUUGAAAUUUUUUCCCACCCUACUAUAGACCUCACUAUUCUUGCAAAGAAGACUUUGUUCUAUCUCAACACUUAGAACUCAUGAUUCUGUUCCUGAGCUGUCCACCUCUGCCAGUGGGAGACACCCUAGACUAAGGUGAGAGGUUAAGGAAGCUAGUGGAAGGCUGGGUGUGGUGGCUCACACCUCUAAUCCCAGCACUUUGGGAGGCCGAAGUGGGAGGAUCACUUGAGGUCAGGAGUUCAAGACCAGCCUGGGCAACAUGGUGAAACCGUCUCUACUGAAAAUACAAAAACUAGCCAGGCAUGGUGACAUGUGCCUAUAAUCCCAGCUACUCGGGAGGCUGAGGUGGGAUAAUUGCUUGAACCUGGGGGGCAGAGGCUGCAGUGAGUACUGCUGCACUCCAGCCUGGGUGACAGAGCAAGACUCCACCUCAAAAAAAAAAAAAAAAAAAAAAAAAAAAGGAAGCUAGUGGAGAAAGACUGCAGGUGCCAGAGUUCAGCACAGCAGGUUUGACUCCCCUGUAUCAGCUGCAUGAUGCUGAGCAAGUUAACAUCUCUGAAGAUCAAUUUUCCCUUGCAAAGAUGAAGGCAAAUGCCUUCCAUUGUGAGGAACCAUCAAAAUAAUGGAGGGGAUACUAGUGAAUGUUAGUGGGCGCCAGUGCUUGUCCCUCCCAUCCAGAGACCUGGUCCCCCCUAUCCAGGAGUCUUGAUUUCAAUGGUCGAAGGCCCUUCCCACAGCUUUCCAGUGAUGCAGACAGGCUGAGGUAUGCCCUUUUCUUCAGAAAACUGGCUGUUACAAUUUGCAAAGCCCGAUGCAAAAUAUUUUCAAAAUUGCUAUUAAAAAAAUUAAGAAUUUAAAGUCGAUGACAGAACAUGCAACCAAACAGGGGGCCUCCUGACUAUGGGGCCCUUUGUGACAGCACAGCCUAUGAAGACGGUCUGUCUCCAACUCACAUGGCUCUUCCCACCCUGGUUCCACACUACAAUCACCUGCAGAACUUUAGAAAGUAGAGAUGCCCUUGUACCUCCCCUGAGAUAUUUCAAACACCAAAGAGGCCCCCAGGGGACCGCAGCAGGCAGGCACGGUGGAGAGCUACUGGAGUAGAGCCUUAGGAUGCCUUGGAAGACUGUCAUGGCCCAACAUCCACAAGCAGCAGGCAAAACUGUCCCCAUAAAGCCCAGAUAAGACAAAUACUUGCAAAUGUAACAUCUCAGGGUCUUUAGGACCCGUAUCACGUGCCCCAUGGAAAAAGCUAUUAAUGCCUCCCACCCCUAUGAGGCUGCCUUACUGUGCAGACAGCAGAGGAUGCUCAUGAGUUCAGCAUCUCCCCUUCCAGGUUUUCACCGGCACAGCCCACUCCAGAGGAACCUGCUUCCCCGUGUCCUUUGUAGAGCUAUGGUGUGUGACUAGGUGGGGAGGCAAGCAGCAGCUUAUGUGCGACUUCCCAGCGGUGUUAAGGACAUGACCUUCUGUCCUAGUUGGCGCUUAAGGUGUCAUCUGAGACUAUGUGUUGAAGAUGUGUGUGGCAGGGGGCAUGGGAAGAUAGAAAUCAUGAUCCCUGCUGAUCAUAAGGCCACAGUACCUAGAUCUUGGUUAUUCCUCCUCCCCCUACAAAAGAAAAAAAGCAAGCAGGGCUCAGGGGGUGGGGGAGACAGAGGGAAGCCAACUUCUCUUAAGUCAGUAGAUUGCAUCAUUAGGCCAAAUGCCUGACAUGACCCAUUUUACAGAAGAGUAAAAUAGACUCAGAUGACAUCCCCCUAGCUGAACGAGGCAGGGAUUUCCCAUCUUCAGCUGCAUUCGCUUAUAACUAAAAAAAAGGUGGCUUCUCAGAGUAGAAGGAUGGUUGCCAGGAGUUGGGGGAAACGGGGAGAUGUUGAUCAAAGGGCACAAUCUUUGUCAUGACAUGAACAAAUUUUGGGUUGUAAGGCACAGCAUGAGUGGUGGCAGCUGUGUUAAUCUGUGGUAGUCAUUACACGAUGCUUAGGUAUUUCCAAUCAACACAUUAUAGACACCGAAUAUAUACAGUCUUUGUCUGUUAAAUAUUUAAAAGAGGCAGCUUUUGGCCAGGCAUGGUGGCUCACGCCUAUAAUCCCAGCACUUUGGGAGGCCGAGGCAGGUGGAUCACGAGGUCAGGAGUUCGAGACCAGCCUGGCCAACAUAGUGAAACCCUGUCUCUACUAAAAAUACAAAAAAUUAGCAGGUCAUGAUGGCAGGCGUAUGUAAUUCCAGCUACUUGGGAGGCUGAGGCAGGAGAAUUGCUUGAACCCAGGAGGCAGAGGUUGCAGUGAGCUGAGAUCGCGCCAUUGGACUCCAGCCUGGGCGACAAGCGUGAAACUCCAUCUCAAGGAAACAAGAGACAGCUUCUAGGAUGUCACCACCCUGCCCCAAUUUAUUACUGGGUCAUAUUGUUUUAGGAAGUUUCUUCCCCUUAUCCUUUAGUUUCUGCAUUUAAAGAGGGACAGGGGCUAGGUGGGGUGGGAGAGGCCAUGGCCUCAGGCACACAUUUAAGGUGGUAUCCCAAAUCUCAGCUGAUCAAGGUAAAUACCAUAACGCAACUUUUUAAAAACCAAAAUGAAUGCAAAAGAAACCUACAAUGAACAGGAUGUCAGAACUCUAAACACGGGAUCCAACUCUGCUUGCACAGCCCUGACUUGCCCUAAUCCCAGGCCAACUUUCCACAGAACUACAAAAACAAAGCAGAUGACCUGUGGGGCCACCGUUUGCCAAUCUGCAUUAAAAUAUUUUUUGGCGACUGAGUUCUCGGCACUCCCUUAAGUCUCAUGUCCCAGGCAAGUGCCUCACCCUAUCCCAGCUCUGGGUAGCACCUGGGAGAAAAACACCUGCAGACAGGUAAAGUUCUUAGUGCAGUGCCUGGCUCAGUCAUGAUGGCAACUCGAAUUGAGGCUCAUCUGCUUUCUUAGAAGAGGUUAAAUACAGGGAGACAAACAAGCUAUUUGUGUUCUGUAGUGUCUAGAAGGCAGCAAGAAACCUUAAGCAGAGGGGCGGGAGAUCGCCUUGAUUUCUGUUCUUCAGUGGAGAUUUUACAAGCUGAUCUGAGUAAAGAUCAAAAGGAUCCAGUUUUCCCCAAUACCUAACCGGAAACUCAUCUGUCUGUGGCAUGGAGCAACACCUUCCUUAAAGUGGCCCCACGAAAUUUUUCUAAAGAUGGAGUCGCAUUGCUACCCAGGCUCGACUUGAACUCUUGGGCUCAAAUAGUUCUUCCUAGCUCAGUCUCCCAAGUAGCUGGGACCAUAGACACUCAUUACUGAUGCUGGCUCAAUUUCAUGUUAACAUUUCCCCCUUGCCUUUUAUCCAAGGCCAAUCACCCUGUUGCUUGUACUUAGGGGUUAACAGACUGGCCUUCCAAAUCAUGUCCUUUUUAUAAAUAAAGUUUUAUUGGCCCACAGCUAAACUUAUUUCCUUCCCUAUUCUCUGUAGCUGCAUUACAGUGGCCGAGUUGGAACCUCUGUGCUACAACAGCAGUGGCAACAGAGCUGAUAACAAGUAGGACCAGCAAAGCUCAAAACAUUUACUAUCUGGCCCUUAACUGAAAAAGUUUGCGGAUCCCUGGGGCUCAGGUGAAGUCAAACUGCAAACAUUCUCAGUUUCCUCUUCCAGAUCCAGAGGGCUCUGCAAAUCAAGGCUGGUGUAAGAAUUGCCAUUCUGGUCUGUGCCAUGUCAGCUGCUCCUUUCUAUUAAGGCUGUUUUAUUUGGUUAUUACCUGUACAUUUUAAGUCUCAUUCUAGCAGGUUUAGCCAGUUCAGCCCCCAAUUCCGAAUGAUUUAACCCCAUCCACUGCCAUCUUCUAAUUUCCUAGAAAUGGUAAGGUAAGACUACCCCUACUCCUACAAGUUUCCUGGUCCUAGACUUCCCUCUUAGCCUACUUUUCUCUGAAUCUUGGAAUUCUUACCAGUCUCAAAAAUUCUUUUAAGUUACCCAAAUUCUUUUUAAUACUCAUUCAGCCUUAUUCUCUUGAACUACACUCUCAGCUUUGUGCAAAUCCCAUUUGUGUCUCUGCCAGAAAAUUUGGUAUCUUUUAGUGUGUUUUACAAGUCACACUUGCCAGUUCAGAGCAAAGUACUCUGCAGGAGGGCUUGCUACAUUCUAAGACCAUGGGCCAAAUCUAGCCUGCCACCUGUUUUUGUAAAGUUUUAUUGGAACACAGACACACUUGUUUUUUCUUGCAAUCUAUGGUUGCUUUUGCACUAAAACCACAGAGCUGAGUAGUUGCAAAAAACUUUAUGGCCCCACCCACUGCCUGAAGUAAAUAUUGGGUUCACAGCUUUUUACUCACCUCUGCUCUAUUGGGAAUCCAAGUUUGCUGGGUGAUACCAGCUUGGAUAUAAAAUCCUUAAAGUCCAUACAGCUGUUAACAAAAAAUGCCUUCUAAAAAGGCUGAUAUCUUUCCUCUUUGUCUAAAGAGCUAUAACAAGAAGUACAAGGAACGUUUAUGUGAUUUCAAUCUAUGGGUUCCCACUUGAAAGGUCAACAACCUUCUAGAACAGAAACGCAGAUCAGAUUCACGACAAACAGCAGAAAGAGAUGUUCAGCUUGAUGAGGGCACACAAGACUUUAUAUUUAAAAAGAGUAUUUGAAGGAAAGAUGCCAAAAGUAGAAACCAAGCAACUUUGGGUCACAAGGGCCGCUGCUUCUGGGUCACAGCCCAAGGGAGGCAUGCCAUGGGCUCCCUGGCCUGCUUCCAUUGCCUGCUGGCUAAGCGAUGCAGAGAACUACAGCAGCUGCCUCAGACCCAGAGGCUAAGCCAAGUGUUCAGGAUGGCAGAGCCAUUGGACCAGCUGUGGACUCUAUGCCUCUGAAGAUGUACUCAAGAAAUAAACUGGAUUACGUUUAA